GACGAACGCUGGCGGCGUGCUUAACACAUGCAAGUCGAACGGAAAGGCCCUGCUUUUGUGGGGUGCUCGAGUGGCGAACGGGUGAGUAACACGUGAGUAACCUGCCCUUGACUUUGGGAUAACUUCAGGAAACUGGGGCUAAUACCGGAUAGGAGCUCCUGCUGCAUGGUGGGGGUUGGAAAGUUUCGGCGGUUGGGGAUGGACUCGCGGCUUAUCAGCUUGUUGGUGGGGUAGUGGCUUACCAAGGCUUUGACGGGUAGCCGGCCUGAGAGGGUGACCGGCCUCAUUGGGACGGAGAGACAGACAAGACUACUGCGGGAGGCAGCGGUGGGGAAUAUUGCACAAUGGGCGGAAGCCGGAUGCAGCAACGCCGCGUGCGGGAUGAAGGCCGUGGGGUUGGAAACCGCUUUCGCCUGUGACGAAGCAUGAGUGACGGUAAUGGGUAGAGAAGCACCGGCUAACUACGUG
rnacentral:rRNA from 1 species